CCAGACUCCUACGGGAGGCAGCAGUGAGGAAUAUUGGUCAAUGGUCGGGAGACUGAACCAGCCAAGCCGCGUGAGGGAUGAAGGUACAGAGUAUCGUAAACCUCUUUUGUCAGGGAACAAAGGCGGGGACGCGUCCCCGGAUGAGUGUACCUGAAGAAAAAGCAUCGGCUAACUCCGUGCCAGCAGCCGCGGUAAUACGGAGGAUGCGAGCGUUAUCCGGAUUUAUUGGGUUUAAAGGGUGCGUAGGCGGGACCUUAAGUCAGCGGUAAAAUUGCGGUGCUCAACGCCGUAGAGCCGUUGAAACUGGCGGGCUGGAGUUGGAGAGAAGUACGCGGAAUGCGCGGUGUAGCGGUGAAAUGCUUAGAUAUCGCGCAGAACCCCGAUUGCGAAGGCAGCGUACCGGCUCCACACUGACGCUGAGGCACGAAAGCGUGGGUAUCGAACAGGAUUAGAUACCCCAGUA
rnacentral:rRNA from 1 species